GUGUCUGGGGCUCCUGAGAAAGCAGUGAGUUCCUGCAUCCUGGUUUCCUGGGGCUGCUGCAGCAAAGCACCCCAAGCCGGGGGACGGGAAACAGGGAAGUGUCAGAAGUCCGAAGUCAGGGUGUCGGGCCGGCCACGCUCCCUCGGAAGGCUCCAGGGAGAAUCUGUUCCGUUUUUCUCUCCCGGCUUCUGGUGGUGGCGUCUCCUGGCUGGUGGCACAGCUCAGUCCCUGCCUCCAUUGUCGUGUGGCCGUCUGCUCUACCUGUGUGUCUGUCUGUCUGUCUGUCCCCUUCUCCAGGAGGACCUCUUCUUUACCUGCCCAAUUCCAUCUAUAACAACACUAUUUCCAGCUUGGAGCUACACACCCAAGAAAAACAUGUUCUUAAAUUAAACUUAAUCAUUCCUGUGGAUGUGAAUCCUGGCAAAAGGGCGUUUUGAUGGGUUUACUUCAGGGAGCAUCAGGAAACCAGAAGCCAGCGGAACCCGGAAGAGAAAGGAAGAGGGCGCCACGCGACAGAAAAGCCAAGGAUGGGGACCCCGGCAGCCGGCCCCCGCGCGCCGUCUCCGGGGAGAAAGCCUCGCCUUGCUGACGCCUCGAUUUGGGCUCUUUUGGCCUCAAACCUGUGAGCCAAUAGAUUCCCGUGGUUUACACCAACCCACUGAAUGACACCGGUUUCAGCGCCCAGGGAACGAAAGCACCUGCUUUUUUAAAUGACGGCAGAACAUUCCAGAGAAAGACAUCCCGAAAUUUAUUAAAUUACU